rnacentral:rRNA from 1 species
AUUGAACGCUGGCGGAAUGCUUUACACAUGCAAGUCGAACGGUAGAGGGGGCAACCCCUUGAGAGUGGCGAACGGGUGAGUAAUAUAUCGGAACGUGCCCAGUCGUGGGGGAUAACGUAGCGAAAGUUACGCUAAUACCGCAUACGAUCUAAGGAUGAAAGCGGGGGAUCGCAAGACCUCGCGCGAUUGGAGCGACCGAUAUCAGAUUAGGUAGUUGGUGGGGUAAAGGCUCACCAAGCCAACAAUCUGUAGCUGGUCUGAGAGGACGACCAGCCACACUGGAACUGAGACACGGUCCAGACUCCUACGGGAGGCAGCAGUGGGGAAUUUUGGACAAUGGACGCAAGUCUGAUCCAGCCAUUCCGCGUGCAGGAUGAAGGCCCUCGGGUUGUAAACUGCUUUUGUACGGAACGAAAAGGUUUCUCUUAAUACGAGGAGCUCAUGACGGUACCGUAAGAAUAAGCACCGGCUAACUACGUGCC